CAGUGGGAGUCAGUCCCACCGGGGAAAAAGUCAGAGGCCCCGUAGCUUGGGUCGCAUCAGCGGAGGAAACAAAGCGGAUGAAGCCGACCGACCAAGCCAUCUUUAAGGAUGGUGAGCGAGUCCCCAGGCCGUAACGCAA
rfam:Actinobacteria bacterium RBG_13_63_9 RBG_13_scaffold_6487, whole genome shotgun sequence.